CGCCAUAAAUUUAGUCUAGCAUGACUUAUUCGUCCUCAAUCCAUGAAACAUUUCAUCCUAUGAGGAUAUUAUCCAAAAUCAACCGUCCCGCCACAAAUGUUGAUUGAGUUUUGGAUACCAAUUUCUAAAGACAAACCUUCUAUAUCUGACAUAAAACCUUCGAGAUUAUCUUAUACUCUACGUUACAUAAACUAAUUGGUCGUAGAUCCGUCAUCCUGGUGGGCCUCUCCUUUUUUGGAUCCAACAAAUAUUAGUCAUAUUCAAUCAUUUAUCCAACUUCCCCGUUCUCAUAAAAUAAUUCACCAACUCAA
rnacentral:lncRNA from 1 species